rnacentral:rRNA from 1 species
UACAGAGGGUGCGAGCGUUGUCCGGAAUCACUGGGCGUAAAGGGCGCGUAGGUGGCGACCCAAGUCCAUGGUGAAAGCUCGAUGCUCAACAUCGAGUCGGCCACGGAUACUGGGUUGCUGGAGCACUGUAGAGGCAGAUGGAAUUCCGGGUGUAGCGGUGGAAUGCGUAGAGAUCUCCAAGAACACCAGUUGCGAAGGCGGCUGACUGGACCCAUAUUGACGCUGAGGCUCGAAAGCAUGGGGAGCAAACAGG